rnacentral:rRNA from 1 species
CCGGGAUAGUUCCUUGAACCGCAUGGUUCAAGGAUGAAAGACGGUUUCGGCUGUCACUUACAGAUGGACCCGCGGCGCAUUAGCUAGUUGGUGGGGUAAUGGCUCACCAAGGCGACGAUGCGUAGCCGACCUGAGAGGGUGAUCGGCCACACUGGGACUGAGACACGGCCCAGACUCCUACGGGAGGCAGCAGUAGGGAAUCUUCCGCAAUGGACGAAAGUCUGACGGAGCAACGCCGCGUGAGUGAUGAAGGUUUUCGGAUCGUAAAGCUCUGUUGUUAGGGAAGAACAAGUGCGAGAGUAACUGCUCGCACCUUGACGGUACCUAACCAGAAAGCCACGGCUAACUACGUGCCAGCAGCCGCGGUAAUACGUAGGUGGCAAGCGUUGUCCGGAAUUAUUGGGCGUAAAGGGCUCGCAGGCGGUUUCUUAAGUCUGAUGUGAAAGCCCCCGGCUCAACCGGGGAGGGUCAUUGGAAACUGGGAAACUUGAGUGCAGAAGAGGAGAGUGGAAUUCCACGUGUAGCGGUGAAAUGCGUAGAGAUGUGGAGGAACACCAGUGGCGAAGGCGACUCUCUGGUCUGUAACUGACGCUGAGGAGCGAAAGCGUGGGGAGCGAACAGGAUUAGAUACCCUGGUAGUCCACGCCGUAAACGAUGAGUGCUAAGUGUUAGGGGGUUCCGCCCCUUAGUGCUGCAGCUAACGCAUAAGCA